rnacentral:rRNA from 1 species
GGGGGGAAAAUUAAUAAUUUAUAGUUAAUAAAAAAAAUUUUAGUAUUAAAAAUAUAUAAUGGGGGUUAAAGUAUUUUUAAUAGAAAAAAUUUAUAGAUUUAUAGUUUAGUAGUAUUGUAAAAUAAAUUUUAAAUAAGUUAAAUAUUAAAUUAAAUUAAAGUAAAUUUUAUUUAUUGUAUCUUGUGUAUCAGAGUUUAUUAAAAAUUUAAUUUUAUAUAAAAUAAUCUCGAAUUUAAAAGAGUUAAUUAAUUAAUAAAGUUAAUGUUGAAUAAUUAUUUUAAAUAAUUAAUUAGAAAUGAAAUGUUAAUCGUUUUUAAAUAUAUCUAGUUUUUUUAGAAAAAAAUUUAAUUUUAAAUUUAAAUAAUUUUAUAAUUAUUUAAAUUAAUUGUAAAAAUUUAAAAUUUUAUAUAUUAAGGGAUAAGCUUUAAAUUAAAAAUUUAUAAUAAAUAUAAAAAUUAAUUAAAAUUUUUAAAAUUUAUAUUGUUUAAAAAUUAUAAUUUAUUAUAAAAAAUUUUAAUUAAAUUAAAAUUUAAAAAUAAAAUUUAAUUUUUUAUAAGAAAAUAAUUUUUAAUAAAAUAAAAAUUAAUAAUAAUGAUAAAAUUAGUAUAAUUAAUAAUAAAAAAGUAAAUUAAAUAAAAGUUAAGUUAAAGGAAUUCGGCAAAAAUUUAUAUUCACUUGUUUAUCAAAAACAUGUCUUUUUGAGUAAUAAUUUAAAGUCUAAUCUGCCCACUGAUAAUAAAUUAAAGGGCUGCAGUAUAUUGACUGUACAAAGGUAGCAUAAUCAAUAGUCUUUUAAUUGAAGACUUGUAUGAAAGAUUUAAUGAGAUAUAGACUGUCUCUAGUUUAUUAAUAAAAAUUAAUUUUUUAGUUAAAAAGCUAAAAUAAAAUUAAAAGACGAGAAGACCCUAUAGAGUUUUAUAUUUAAUUUAUUUAUAGUAAAAUAUAAAAUUAAUUAUUAAAAUUUAAAUUAAAUAUUUUAUUGGGGUGAUAAAAAAAUUAGAAAAACUUUUUUUAUAAAAAAAACAUAAAUAAAUGAAUAAUUGAUCCAUUAAUAAUGAUUAAAAGAAAAAAUUACCUUAGGGAUAACAGCGUAAUAUUUUUUUUUAGUACAAAUAAAAAAAAAAGUUUGCGACCUCGAUGUUGGAUUAAGAUAAAAUUUAAAUGCAAAAGUUUAAAAUUUUGAUCUGUUCGAUCAUUAAAAUCUUACAUGAUCUGAGUUCAAACCGGUGUGAGCCAGGUUGGUUUCUAUCUUUAAUAAAUUAUAAUAUUUUAGUACGAAAGGAUCAAAUAUUGAAAAUAAUUUUAAUUUAGAGAAUGUUAUUAAUAUAAUUAUA